rnacentral:lncRNA from 15 species
UGAAUUGAAAGUGAUUGUGGAUGAUGUGGUUCACAGAGUACAAUGAGUCUGUGUAGCUGCUUUGGAUUCUUGCUGUUUGUCCUCCACAAUCUCCCAGGCACCACAGAGGAUUUCUUCCUAGAUUCGUCUCAUUCUGCCUUUCCCAUCACCUUCGGUUUGGGAGUCAUCUUCAUGUCUGUUAUUUUAGUCGUUUUUGCUGCAUAUAAAUGGAAACAAAACAAAAACAGAAACAAAGAGAGGGAGCACCUUAAGACAACUGAGAAGAAUUCAAUCAAGGCUUUCCAUACAGGACAAAGAGACAAUGAGACCAAGAAUUUGGAGGAUGAAAUUGAUGAAAUUCAGCCUCUCCGAGACCAGAAUCAGAGCAUGGAGAACGAGCUGCAGACCUUGAAGAGAGAGCUGGAGACCAACAAAAAACAGGUUCACCUCUUCACUAAAAUCUGCAUUUUUUCACUGAGACACCACAACAUCUCUCCCUCUUUAUUUCUUCUCCAUAAGAUAUGGUUUUCUUUCCAAACACCUCCUUACUGGUUGUCCGUUUCACCUUCAAAAUUGUCCCACAAAUGUAUGUGAUUAUUCUUCAACUACUAUUGCACAUUAUAUUCUCGCUCUUAUGUCGGCACAUCGUGUCCAUCUCAGUCAAGAAUUGUGUUAAAUGUCAUAUAGAACUGCAAGGUCUUCCCUAAAUGUGAUUUCUUUGUAACUUAAUACUUCAGUUUAAAAAAAUUCCCAUUUGAUCUAUCUUCAUCUUCUCUCUCCUCUCAGUUGGAGGAUAAAAUAGAUGAAAUGCAGCAUCUCCGAGACCAGAAUCAGAGCAUGGAGAAUGAGCUGCAGACCUUGACGAGAGAGCUGGAGACCAACAAAAAACAGGUUAAUCUCUUCACUAAAAUCUGCAUUUCAUCUCUCCCUCUUUAUUUCUUCUCUACAAGAUAUGGUUUUGUUUUCAGAUAUCUCCUUACUGGUUGUCAGUU